GGCCUGAUGGUCUAGUGGUUAGGACUCUUGGUUUUGAGAAGAAAUUCCAAGCAGCCCCGGUUCGAACCCGGGUCAGACCU
rnacentral:tRNA from 1 species